UAGAUAUAUGGUUGUUUGUUGAGAGAGUACUCUUACCCUUGUUAGUGGUAGUUGCUCAGGCUAUAUCAUGGAUCACACCCAAGUCCACUUCUCGUGCCUUCUUCGCUUUAUAAGCCUUCACAUGUUCUGUUCUUGCAUGUGACUUCUUUGCCUUCUUCCCUUCCCCAUUUCUAUUCUGUUCUUCUCCUCUUCCUAUUCAUCAAUUCGAUUGUUUGUUUCCUUCUUCUUCUUCUUUUUCUUCUAAUAUAAUCUCUCUUCCUGAUAUGAUGCCCCCAGAGCAAGAAAGUUCCAUUGCUGCAGGCAAUAGUCCAGCUAAUAUCAUGCUCCCCAACUGGACGGAAACUGUUCCUGUUCAUGCUGAGCCCUCUGUUUCUUCCAUUAACGCCACCCCAUGUUCACAAGAUCGACUACCUGAUCAACAAGAACCAACCCCAUCAAGAUUCUCUAUUUUACGCGCGUCGUUACGUCCCGUAACUCUCAUGUUUGUAGAUGUUGCUUAUAGUAUUGAUUUGUCCACAAAAGGAAGCUGUUGUUCUCCGAAUGGAUCAAAAUCGACAAGAAUCGUACUCAAUGGUGUUAGUGGCAUCGUUCGUCCUGGCGAGCUAGUAGCAAUGCUUGGACCAUCGGGGAGCGGCAAGACUACCCUUUUAACAGCUCUUGCCGGUAGACUACCAGGAAAGGUCUCGGGUACCAUAACAUACAAUGGCCUGCCCUUCUCCAGCUCUGUGAAGCGCAAAACAGGCUUUGUCGCUCAAGACGAUGUCUUUUAUCCCCAUCUAACAGUGAUAGAGACCUUGACAUUUGCUGCUCUAUUAAGGCUACCAAAAAUGCUCACCAGAGAAGAGAAAAUAGAGCAAGCUGAGAUGGUUAUCGUGGAGCUUGGAUUAACAAGGUGUAGAAACAGUAUAGUGGGUGGGCCUUUACUUCGGGGAAUAUCGGGUGGUGAACGCAAACGGGUCAGUAUCGGGCAAGAAAUGCUGGUAAACCCGAGUUUAUUGUUGCUUGACGAACCCACUUCAGGGCUUGACUCGACCACUGCUCAACGAAUCAUGGCCACCUUAAAAGGACUAGCACGUGGCGGUAGGACUCUCAUAACCACCAUUCAUCAGCCUUCAAGUAGGCUGUACAGGAUGUUUGACAAGGUGGUGGUUUUGUCGGAUGGAUGUCCCAUUUACAGCGGGCCAGCUGGUCGGGUCAUGGAGUGUUUUGAUUCGAUAGGUUACGUGCCCGGGUUCAAUUUUAUGAACCCGGCUGAUUUUCUGCUUGACCUUGCUAGUGUCUUUUUGGAGAUGCAGGCAUAGUUCCUGACACGAAACAAGAUGAUAAAAUGGGGGUUUAUGGUAGAGUAGAUCACCUUGAUGAUCAGAAUUCAACAAAACAAUCCUUGAUAUCAUCAUAUAAGAAGAACUUAUACCCUGCAUUGAAAGCAGAGAUACAUCAAAAUUUGCAGGACCCAGCUCUUUCUGCAUCGUCAGGAACUUCAUCACUGAGAAAUUCUGAGGAUCAAUGGACGACCACCUGGUGGCAGCAAUUCAAGGUGCUGCUGAGAAGGGGUUUGCAAGAAAGGAAGCAUGAAUCCUACUCAGGCUUAAGGAUUUUCCAAGUCAUGUCAGUUUCGAUUCUUUCAGGGCUUUUGUGGUUGCAUUCUGAUACGUCACACAUACAAGAUCAGGUGGGACUUCUCUUCUUUUUAUCCAUCUUCUGGGGCUUUUUCCCUAUGUUCAAUGCUAUAUUCACAUUCCCUCAGGAGCGACCAAUGCUGAUAAAAGAGCGUUCCUCGGGCAUGUACCGCCUCUCCUCUUACUACUUUGCUCGAAUGGCUGGUGACUUGCCAAUGGAGCUUGUUCUGCCCACAAUUUUUGUGAUUUUCACAUACUGGAUGGGUGGCCUGAAGUCCUCUGUAAUCACAUUUGUAUUAACCCUCUUGAUCAUCCUUUUCAAUGUGCUAGUAUCACAAGGACUAGGACUAGCUCUUGGUGCGAUUUUAAUGGAGGCAAAGCAGGCAACAACUUUAGCUUCAGUGACUAUGCUUGUGUUCUUACUAGCCGGGGGAUACUACAUUCAGCAUAUCCCACCAUUUAUAGCCUGGUUGAAGUACAUCUCAUUUAGUCACUUUUGUUACAAGCUGCUGGUAGGAGUACAGUACUCAGCAAAUGAGGUUUAUGAAUGUGAGCUGGGGAUGGAUUGCAGGGUAAUGGAUUUUCCUGCUAUCAAGUGUCUGGGUACUGAUAAUAAGGGGUGGGAUGUGGCUGCUCUGUCAAUAAUGUUGGUCGGAUAUAGGCUUCUGGCUUAUGUGGCUCUGAGAAUGUGGCAACCUCACUGACCCAUAUGAUUAAGAUUACUCAUUAUGACCAUCUCUUUAUUUGAGCAACAGGAACUAAGGAAAUUGUUAUCCAAUUUUGGUCAUUAUCAUCUUCAAGGGAAGAAAUCCUGAUGAAGGCUAGCUUGCAUAAAUGUAAGUUGGAUUUGUUGCUAAAAUACAUUAAACUUGUGACCCGAUAGUAGACAAAUAAUGAUUAAAAGAGUAUCUCUUUUAUAUGUUUGUACAGAUCAUAAAUCCAAAAUUACGAAGGGGAAGUGUAUCUCUGUGAUAAACUGAUGAUAAAUGAUCAUUGCUAAUAUGUCAAAACAAAAUGUUCUCAUUCCCCUCUCCUGUCUUAAAAGCAGAAAAUCCUGAAGAG
rnacentral:misc_RNA from 1 species